ACUCCUGAAACUUUGGAGGUUUUAGCUCUUUAUACAGUGAAGUUACAGGAAGAUGAAAAUUAUUAUCAGGCAAAAUGUAUUUGUUUGUUAAAUUAAUCCCGUCUGAUACCGCGUGAAAACAAUACAUAUAUAAUUUUCUGUUGUAACCCUCAAACUGAAUGGUAAUGUAACGACACUCAUUUUUCACUUUUUCACAAAACUAAAACAUCACAAUGUCAUGGUCUCCGUGCCUGCCCAGCCGGCCCCACAAGGCUACAUGUUCUGUUUUGGUUCUCUCUCUCUCUCUCUCUGCCUGGGCGGAGCUCACUGCGGGCUCCCGCCCUUGGUCCACACACCUGUCAUCAAUCACCAGUCAUCACCAGGAGCACUACUUGAGGCUGGGACACAGAUCCUCUCAUCGCUGGAUGAUUGUGCUUAACACUUUUCCUCCCUGGACCUGUGACCUCCCCGCUGUGUGGUUGUGUGUGAGUUGGAGUAAGAAGAGGAGACGAGUGCGCGAGCGUUUUCCCCUGGACCUUCCCUGGGACCCUUCUCCUACCCGGAUUUCCCCCACUGUACACAUUCUGCACUUGGUGUUGUAAAUAAACUCUGUGUUGGAACUGA